rnacentral:rRNA from 1 species
GACUACUGGGGUAUCUAAUCCUGUUUGCUCCCCACGCUUUCGCGCCUCAGCGUCAGUUGUCGUCCAGCAAGCCGCCUUCGCCACUGGUGUUCCUCCUAAUAUCUACGCAUUUCACCGCUACACUAGGAAUUCCACUUGCCUCUCCGAUACUCAAGAACGACAGUUUCAAAUGCAGUUUGAGGGUUGAGCCCCCAGAUUUCACAUCUGACUUGCCAUCCCGCCUACGCGCCCUUUACACCCAGUAAAUCCGGACAACGCUUGCCACCUACGUAUUACCGCGGCUGCUGGCACGUAGUUAGCCGUGGCUUAUUCAUGGAGUACCGUCACUUCUUCGUCCUCCAUAAAAGAAGUUUACAACCCGAAGGCCUUCUUCCUUCACGCGGCGUUGCUGGGUCAGGCUUUCGCCCAUUGCCCAAUAUUCCCCACUGCAGCCCCCCGUAGG